rnacentral:misc_RNA from 1 species
UUGGAUACCUUUCUAAUUUUGUUGUCACAUCCACCCGGAACAUUGUCAAUGGAAAGAUAAACACCUUGCCAUCUCUAAACAACCAAACAAGCUAAACUAACAGAAAUUAUAAAGCUAUACAAGCCAAUAAAAAUUCAAUAGCUUCACUUUCCCACAAGUCGACCAUGCCAGAAUCCUGGACAGGACGAUCACUCUAAGACAACCCACCAAAUAAUCUCAAUCCCGAGUAAUUUCAAAGGAAUUAAUCACUACACAGUAUUCACAACAUCCUCCAAAAAUGCUUGCUUAGUUA